CGAGCAGAUCUCGGGGAAGACAGGGCUCAACCUACUGCAGAGGAGCGAUGCCUUGUACUGGAAGACCAUGCUGGCUGUGGCGAAGCACUCCCUGAAGGUGCUGCUGCUCGUGAUGUCCAACCCCAUCUCCGUUUCCACCUACCUUGCCUAGAAGCUUUCAGUGUUGGGUUCCUGGUGAGCGGCGUCAUCAGUUCGAGCACCAACCACUUUGUAAUCCACAUGCAGCUUCUAGGUUCAGGCUUUGGGAUGAAGGAACAUAGCACAUCGUUGCUGAAUUUGGAGGUUUACUCAUCAACAAGGGAAGGGGAAACAAGCAGUACCAAAGCUGGGACAACUUUGAGAUGCGGGUGCACAAGAGGGUGAUCGACCUUGUCAGCUCCUUGGACGUUCUCAAGCAGAUCACCAUUGAGAGGUUGAGAUGACCAUUAAUAACGAGUAACUAUUGUGAAGGUAGUCAAGGACAUGCAGAUGUUGGUGAUGGGCUCUGUUAGGAUGCCCACGUAGGUGCUCAACAUCACCACCGGGAAGUCCCCCUGUGGCGCAAGGUGAGCUGGAAGUGGUGGUGCACCGCCUUGCUUAUGGCGCCAAUGAGAUGGCGGGGUUGUUGCCCCGUGACGUCGGCGUCAGCUCCCACGACUCCAUCACCAGCUAGCACUACGUGGGGCACCUGUGCACAAGGAUUCCUGGUUCCAGCUACUCGGGGCACUUGUGAACGUAUUGGAUUACUGGUGCGUUAUGCAAACAGCGGAUGAUCUGCUACUCCUAUAGAUGAGUAAGUUUUGUAGGAAGCAAACAAAAGGACUGCACCCACAAGGAACCGUGAGGCCAGCGAUCCGCGUCAACUGCAUGUUUUAGCUUUCAUUGUGUACAAAUAACAUCUCAGACUUGUAUCUUUUAGCUAUCUUUUUCUGAACAUGAUGCAUGGUGUCUUGGUGGAUAUCUUUAGAACAGACUGAAGUAUAUGUAUGUGACGAUUAGUUAAUGAAACAAAAAUGUUUGGUGCA